rnacentral:rRNA from 1 species
AACGAACGCUGGCGGCAGGCCUAACACAUGCAAGUCGAGCGGGCGUAGCAAUACGUCAGCGGCGGACGGGUGAGUAACACGUGGGAAUAUGCCUUUCGGUUUGGAACAACUCGGGGAAACCCGUGCUAAUUCCGGAUACGCCCUUAGGGGGAAGGAUUUAUCGCCGAAAGAUUAGCCCGCGUCCGAUUAGCUAGUUGGUGAGGUAACGGCCCACCAAGGCGACGAUCGGUAGCUGGUUUGAGAGAACGACCAGCCACACUGGGACUGAGACACGGCCCAGACUCCUACGGGAGGCAGCAGUGGGGAAUCUUGGACAAUGGGAGGAAACUCUGAUCCAGCCAUGCCGCGUGAGUGAUGAAGGCCUUCGGUUG